rnacentral:rRNA from 1 species
GACGAACCGAGCGAACGUUGUUCGGAAUCACUGGGCUUAAAGGGCGCGUAGGCGGGUGCUCAAGUCCGGGGUGAAAUCCUCCAGCUCAACUGGAGAACUGCCUCGGAUACUGGGUGCCUCGAGGGUGGUAGGGGUAUGCGGAACUAUCGGUGGAGCGGUGAAAUGCGUUGAUAUCGAUAGGAACUCCGGUGGCGAAGGCGGCAUACUGGACCACAUCUGACGCUGAGGCGCGAAAGCCAGGGGAGCGAACGGG